CUCUACCCUGGAAAACUCCAAGGGUGAACAAACAUUUACCUACUGCCUGCUUGCUGUCCAAGGGUCUGGAAUGGGAUAUUGCUCCUCCUGGAGAUGCAGAGAUGGAUGCAGGUCUGCAGGAUAGCAAGAGCCACAAUAGUCUUCUCAUUUUCCCAUGCGAGACUUCCAUUAAACACUAUAAAAGGCCCCACUUCUUUCAGCUGGGAACCUAGCCUGGAUUUUUCUACCCUAAGGAAGACACAAAACCUCCUGAACCUCCAACCUUGGAGCCUUCCCCCUGCCCCAGCCUGGCUCACAACGCUGCUGCUGUAUGCCCAUGAGGAGGAACAGAUGAAACACAAGGCAGAAAGAAAAUCUGAAAAUGUUUGAGGCCACGAGAAGUUUCAUUUUAGACAGGACUCACACAUCUGCUGCACCCACCCUUGAAGGACUGUUUCAUCAUGUCCAGUACUUGAUGAAAGAUGUGCAGAGCUUCACCUGUGGAACAUGAGAUUCAGGCACUUGGCUUCUGGGCCUGAACUGCUCUGAUCUGCUGGUGUUAUCUUGUGUAUCCUCUGGUCCUGUGCACAGUGGAGGAGAUUCAAGUACAUGUAGGUGCUCUGGUACGUGC